rnacentral:rRNA from 1 species
CCUACGGGAGGCAGCAGUAGGGAAUCUUCCACAAUGGGCGAAAGCCUGAUGGAGCAACUCCGCGUGGGUGAAGAAGGUCUUCGGAUCGUAAAACCCUGUUGUUAGAGAAGUAAGUGCGUGAGAGUAACUGUUCACGUUUCGACGGUAUCUAACCAGAAAGCCACGGCUAACUACGUGCCAGCCGCCGCGGUAAUACGUAGGUGGCAAGCGUUAUCCGGAUUUAUUGGGCGUAAAGGGAACGCAGGCGGUCUUUUAAGUCUGAUGUGAAAGCCUUCGGCUUAACCGGAGAAGUGCAUUGGAAACUGGGAGACUUGAGUGCAGAAGAGGAGAGUGGAACUCCAGGUGUAGCGGUGAAAUGCGUAGAUAUAUGGAAGAACACCAGUGGCGAAGGCGGCUCUCUGGUCUGUAACUGACGCUGAGGUUCGAAAGCGUGGGUAGCAAACAGGAUUAGAUACCCGGGUAGUC